AACGAACAGACCUGGACUGUGAGCCAUGGCUUGGAUUUCUGUUUUGAUCACACUUCUGGCUCACUGUACAGGAACCAUUUCCAAGGCUGUUGUGACUCAGGAAACUUCACUCAUCACAUCUCCUGGAGGGACAGUCACACUCACUUGUGGCUCUAGUACUGGGGCUGUUACCACCAGUAACUAUGCCAAGUGGGUCCAAGAAAAAUCUUACCAGGUAUACACUGGCCUGAUAGGUAAUACCAACACUAGAGUCCCACAUGUUUCUGCACGAUUCUCAGGCUCGCUGCUUGGAGACAAGGCGGCCCUCACCAUCACAGGGGCCCAGCCUGAGGAUGAGGCUGUGUAUUACUGUGCUCUGUGGUACAGUGAUACUUUACACAAUGGCACAAAACUGUCUGUACUGGGAAUUGAACCUGAA